rnacentral:lncRNA from 1 species
AUGAGACUCGACGAGCCUCGGCCGACGGCACAGCAGCGGCUUCAAGUUGCCAGCCGAGCCGGUAGGGGCUGGCGGGCGAGCGCCAUAAUGGCUGCCGCCUACCACUGGGAAGCGCGCCGGAGGCAGCUGCUGGUGGAGAAGCGGCUUCGGCUGAUGCAGGCAAGAGCAAUCCCUGAAGGAAUGGCGGAUCCAGAUGUUCCAAAGGAAGUGCCUCCCAGCGAGUUGCCCCAGAAUCCUCCACCACCACCACCGGCAGGAAUCAAGGAAGAUGCCUGUCCAUGCCACACGGACCAUGUGAUGAAACACAGUGGCAAACUGCUGAAAAGAUACACUACUACGGAGUAUAUACAACAGUGGUAACAGCUGAGACACUGACAGCAGCAAGAAAAGAUUGUGUCCUGUAUCUCUGAGCCAGGUCAAAAUUGUGUUGGUGAUUGCAAAGCACUCAGCCAGAGUGAACAAUGAAAUAAUGCUGCCUCUGUGCAUGGGAAAUCCCAGCUCUAAAAUAAAAGUUCUCCAGAACUGCA